rnacentral:rRNA from 1 species
CCAAACGGAGGAAAAGAAACUAACAAGGAUUCCCCUAGUAACUGCGAGUGAAGCGGGAAAAGCUCAAAUUUAAAAUCUGGCGGCUUUGGUCGUCCGAGUUGUAUUCUAGAGAAGUGUUUUCCGCGUUGGACCGUGUAUAAGUCUCUUGGAAUAGAGCGUCAUAGAGGGUGAGAAUCCCGUCUUUGACACGGACUACCAAUGCUUUGUGAUACACUCUCAAAGAGUCGAGUUGUUUGGGAAUGCAGCUCAAAAUGGGUGGUAAAUUCCAUCUAAAGCUAAAUAUUGGCGAGAGACCGAUAGCGAACAAGUACCGUGAGGGAAAGAUGAAAAGCACUUUGGAAAGAGAGUUAAACAGUACGUGAAAUUGCUGAAAGGGAAACGCUUGAAGUCAGUCGCGUUAGCUAGAACUCAACCAGGCUUGCUUGGCGUAUUUUCUAGUUAACGGGCCAGCAUCAGUUUUGACCGCAGGAAAAGGGCCAGGGAAAUGUGGCAUCUUCGGAUGUGUUAUAGUCUCUGGUCGUAUACUGUGAUUGGGACUGAGGACCGCAGCACGCGCAAGCUGUGCUUAGGAUGCUGGCGUAAUGGCUUUAAACGACCCGUCUUG